rnacentral:sRNA from 1 species
UCUGCGGGGGCGGGGGUCGGGUGGAGAGGAGGGUUGGGAAAGCGUAGGAAACAGGCAUCGGAACAGAAACAGGAGCCGGAAAAGCGUUUUGUGCGCUUUAGGUGCUCCGAGUGGGAAUCUCAGAGCAGUACUCUUGGCCCGGAACUCCUCCACCUUGCCACAGUGGGAACAGUAGAGACAGAGCUCAGGAGCCCAGAGCAGGACAUGGAACUGGAACCGGAACAGGAAACACAAACGGAAGCAAACAGUGAAGUCCAACUGCCAAACUCCAGCUUGGUCGCCCAGAGCUGGACUUCCCUGAGUCUUGCAGGUGCAGGGCAUGUGCAGACUGUGCCAUCGUUCAUGUGCAACACCAAGGGAAGGAGAAGGGCGCCCAUGUCCACCACACUCACCAGAGGGGUAGCACUUGGCGACAGCACAAGAUGGCAGAUCCCGGGAGCCUGAAUAACUAUCACCUCCCCACCCCAUCAUCAGGUCCAAGUACUCCUCAGCGCCUGAAGUCAGAGCCCAUGACUCUCUGGGUCUUCUGUCCUGGGAUCAUCAGAGGUCAGAGCCAGGGCCGAGGCAAGGCUCAUAGGAGGUUAAGGGUAGCUCAGUACUAUCACACAUAGGUGCCCCUAGAACCUCCCAAAGUCUGAAGUGUCUUCUCCACGGCUGCCCUAGAAAGGCAUAAGUUAUGAGCCUGCCUGACCAAGACGUAAAGGAUCCUGGACGGAGGCGGGCGCCGUGACGACUUGGUGCCAUGAUCGACCCAGAUGCCAUGUUCCACAACAGCCCGGCUGGGUGUUUAUCAUUGCUUCCUUUAGCAAGUUUAAGUAACUAUAAAGAGCGAAAUAUAAAUAAUUAUUAAGA